rnacentral:rRNA from 1 species
ACGGGAGGCAGCAGUGAGGAAUAUUGGUCAAUGGGCGAGAGCCUGAACCAGCCAAGUCGCGUGAAGGAUGAAGGUUCUAUGGAUUGUAAACUUCUUUUGUUCGAGGGUAAAGUGAGUCACGUGUGAUUUAUUGCAAGUAUCGAACGAAUAAGCAUCGGCUAACUCCGUGCCAGCAGCCGCGGUAAUACGGAGGAUGCGAGCGUUAUCCGGAUUUAUUGGGUUUAAAGGGUGCGUAGGCGGGAUGUUAAGUCAGCGGUUAAAUCGUGUAGCUCAACUAUACUUUGCCGUUGAAACUGGCGUUCUUGAGUGUAAACGAGGUAGGCGGAAUGUGACGUGUAGCGGUGAAAUGCUUAGAUAUGUCACAGAACCCCGAUUGCGAAGGCAGCUUACCAGGAUACAACUGACGCUGAGGCACGAAAGCGUGGGUAUCAAACAGGAUUAGAUACCCUGGUA